AUUGAACGCUGGCGGCAGGCUUAACACAUGCAAGUCGAGCGGAGAGAGGUAGCUUGCUACUGAUCUUAGCGGCGGACGGGUGAGUAAUGCUUAGGAAUCUGCCUAUUAGUGGGGGACAACAUUUCGAAAGGAAUGCUAAUACCGCAUACGUCCUACGGGAGAAAGCAGGGGAUCUUCGGACCUUGCGCUAAUAGAUGAGCCUAAGUCGGAUUAGCUAGUUGGUGGGGUAAAGGCCUACCAAGGCGACGAUCUGUAGCGGGUCUGAGAGGAUGAUCCGCCACACUGGGACUGAGACACGGCCCAGACUCCUACGGGAGGCAGCAGUGGGGAAUAUUGGACAAUGGGCGCAAGCCUGAUCCAGCCAUGCCGCGUGUGUGAAGAAGGCCUUAUGGUUGUAAAGCACUCUAAGCGAGGAGGAGGCUACUUUAGUUAAUACCUAGAGAUAGUGGACGUUACUCGCAGAAUAAGCACCGGCUAACUCUGUGCAAGCCGCCGCCUGUAAUAC
rnacentral:rRNA from 1 species